UGCGACAUUCAGCUCUUUGCCCAGGGUUUGCAACGUUCAUUUGUUUUGGGUGGUGUGGUUCCCCUGUAGUUCUGUGAGGCUCUGUAUUUUUUUUACCUGUAUCUACUUGGUUACUUUGGGUCCUUCAGAGGUAUGCCUGUAUUAAUGGGAAACAGCCCCUGAUGAAGCGCUUUGCGAAACAGCUACUUAUCCUGGAGUGGCUGUUGUGUGCUCUUCCCUGUUUGAUUUGUCAUCCACCAACAGUCAUUACAGAGUAAUUAACCCUUCAGACACAUUACGCGAAAACCCAGCUCCCUUGAGAAGUCCAUAAUUCUGGGGAAAGUUGAAGGAAAGAGAAAAGGAUGACCAGCAGCAAGGUGGAUGGACUUGAUUACAACAACAAGGAAUGCACCACUGGGAGACCUUAAAGGCCAAGCUGAAGACAGAUCAUCCAGGAGAGAAUCUAUCUAUGUGGUCACUAAGAAUUGACACUGACUUGACAGCACUUAAUCGAUCAAUCAACCCUAGACCACCCAAUGGUGGAGUGAGGAACUAACCUGCCUAGGGAGCAAAAGGUUGCAAGUUCAAAUCCCCACGGGUAUGUUUCCUAGACUAUGGGAAACAAGCUCAUUUCUCUGUUUCCCAGACUAUGGGAAACACCUAUAUUGGGCAGCAGCAAUAUAGGAAGGUGCUGAAAGGCAUCAUCUCAUACUGUGCAGGAGAUGGCAAUGGUAAACCCAACCUGUAUUCUACCAAAGACAACCACAGGGCUCUGUGGGUGCCAGGAGUAGAGACUGACUGGACGGCACAACUUUACAACUUAAUUAACUCUAAGACUUUCUGUGACAUCACAUCUCACACGUAUGGAUACCCUAAUCCUCAAUAAUCAACACACUAUACUGCUAAACCAUUUGUG